rnacentral:rRNA from 1 species
UGGGGAAUAUUGGACAAUGGGGGCAACCCUGAUCCAGCAAUGCCGCGUGUGUGAAGAAGGCCUUCGGGUUGUAAAGCACUUUCGAUUGGGAAGAAGGCCCUGUGGCUAAUAUCCAUGGGGAUUGACGUUACCUAAAGAAGAAGCACCGGCUAACUCUGUGCCAGCAGCCGCGGUAAUACAGAGGGUGCGAGCGUUAAUCGGAAUUACUGGGCGUAAAGCGCGCGUAGGCGGCUUAUUAAGUCGGAUGUGAAAUCCCCGGGCUCAACCUGGGAACUGCAUUCGAUACUGGUAAGCUAGAGUUUGAUAGAGGAUAGUGGAAUUCCCAGUGUAGCGGUGAAAUGCGUAGAUAUUGGGAGGAACAUCAGUGGCGAAGGCGGCUAUCUGGAUCAAAACUGACGCU